rnacentral:rRNA from 1 species
UACGGAGGGUGCAAGCGUUAUCCGGAUUCACUGGGUUUAAAGGGUGCGUAGGAGGGCAGGUAAGUCAGUGGUGAAAUCCUAGAGCUUAACUCUAGAACUGCCGUUGAUACUAUCUGUCUUGAAUAUUGUGGAGGUGAGCGGAAUAUGUCAUGUAGCGGUGAAAUGCUUAGAUAUGACAUAGAACACCAAUUGCGAAGGCAGCUCGCUACACAUAUAUUGACUCUGAGGCACGAAAGCGUGGAUCAAACAGG